AUGAAGAGCAUUGGGAGAACACAACCCACAUAUUCCAUCGAUCUGAAAUACCACACGCUGCAUACCGCAAGCUCCGUCGAACUGCGCCGCUCCACUGCCUCUGCUCUAAUCGGACUCUCCCAUGCGUGCAUAUCCUCUAAUUUCGAUUCGGAAAAAAAGAUAAAGAAACUCCGACAAACUGCUAUCACUCUGAAAAACCGUACUUAUUUCGGAAACACGGGAGAACCCACCACUGUCGCAGCUGACUCCCUCAGAUCGCACGAAUUCCGCCAGGCCCUCCACCAUUCGCUGCACCGAGAUCGUCACCGAUGA